GACAUGCUGAUAUAGCCGGUUGCAUGUAUGUAUCAACCCAGUUUGUGAUGAUUGCGCAAUGCAAUGGGCAUUCUGAGGUGAGCUAUUGCCUCACCUGCCUCCCCUGACCGCACGUCUCUGCGGUGGAUAGCACCAAAUUUUGCUUGUGUUAGACAGAAAACCCCCCAAGAAAUGUCAGGAAAAGCCUACUAGAACAUCCGAAACUGAUUGAGGGUUAAUCAGCAACACGUUAAAUGGCGGCGGGUGUGAAGAGGGUCCCGUUUCGCGUGUUGCUGGUUGAUUCUUUUGACUUCCAUCUCAAAAUGAUUUUUUUUUUUGUCAAACUAAUUGAGUUGUACGGGUCACAGAAAGCCUUCCAUGCACCCUGUCACCUGAUCACAUGAUCAGCUGGCCACUGUCGUGACCGCUGUCCCUCCCAAAGAUUCAAGGUGGAAAACGUUUUGGAAUUAUUUUUUUAGCUGCCAUUUAUCACUGAAUGGGUGUGUAGACUUUUUUUCCCCCACUGCUGGUGUUAUAUUUGGCCUAUUUUCCACCUUGUUUGAAGGCUGUUAAUCUUUCGCCUGAUAAUAUGUUACACAUUUGCAUAAAAAAGAAAAAAAAUUAAUUAAUGAGCAAAACUCACAGAGUUGCAUAUCAUUAUCAGGACUGUGUCACUUGGACACGGCAUGAUAAGAAGUGACUUCACUUCAGUUCAUUCCCCAAAAAACUAUCAACCUGAUGUUCAGCGGGUAAGCUCAAGCCUGCUUACAUGUUAAAUCCACAGUAAAAAAAAAAAAAAAAAUGUCUAUCCGUAGCCCCCAAAGCGGAAUUGAAUUCCAACUUUCACCUCCCGGCAGGUGUUCAAGUCAAGUGUAAAAAAAAAAAGGAUGAGUAAGCUUUCUUGCUGCAUUUCGAGCCUGCAGCUCAGAAUUUUUUUUGGGGAGCGCUUGUGUGGUUUUGUGGUGAAAAUUUCUCGUCUUCGUGGCUGGUUUCAAAAUCGCAGCCUCGGACUGAGACUCACAACCCGGCGACUCGGGUGGAUUUUAAGAGACAAGUUGAACUUACCAAUUUUUUAUUUUUUUUUAAUCAUUGCAAAAUGAUCGAUGCAAACAUGUUAACAACGCACAGACACAUUUUCGUGCGCAUACAUGCGUUAGCGUUUCAGCUCACCUCACUAAUCUGCCCGCCUCGUCUGAGCAGUGAGAUGCGCCAAUCCCAUCCGCUUAGCACAAACUGAGAAAAUACUGCCCGCGCGUGCCUGAUUAGUAAUCCUGCAUUCGUUCGGCGGAGCAGUACUUCAUCCUAAUUCGGCAGCCUUUGGCCAUGAAAAAAAUAAAAAUAAAAUUCACCCUUUCCUGCACCCUGUAACUUGAUAACAUGAUAAGCUGUUCACUGUAGUGACCGCUGUCCCUGAAAUGGCUAAAAAGAUGAUUUUUAUGCUCUCAGAAAGUAACGCAUGUUGCAAUCUAUAUAAGAUAAAAACGCUGAAGACACUUAAUUUGCGAAAAAUCGAAUUUACGUCAAUGCUUUGUCCAUCAGCAUUCGGAUGGAAUGAGGGGAGUUUCCAUGACAACGGUACAUAUGACAACCAAAAAAGACCUCUACGGCGCGUGGAGCACCCCGACUUCCUGCCGGCUUCCUGAUCCGACUCUCUCCGUCGCCAUGGAGACGCAACAAUAUUCCGUCCUCGCCGUCUUUCAGCCGAGGGUCAUGCCCCUUCCAUUCCUCACUUGUUUGGCGCACUCGCUCAUUUUUGCCACUGCCGCCCCCUCCCAAAAAAUAGAGCGCGAGGAGGACGCUGUCCCUAAUUCCACAAUCUUAGCCUUGAUUAAAAAAUAAUCAUAACCAUAAUAAUAAUUGAUCGGGUGUUCUGUUGUCUUACAACCCCAUUUUGAGUCAUCGCAUUUCGGUGACAUCAGGUGCUGCUGGAAUGCUUUAGUGCGGUGGAACAAGCGUUCCUUUUAGGUAAGGAUGUGUACCCCCCCCACCUUUGCUGUUCGCUUCUGAAAGGCCACCACCCGGCUGAGAGCACUUGAGAACUCGGGACUGGGGCCAAAAGGGGAAAGGCUGCUGGAAAUGGGCCAGACUGUCAUUCUCAGAGCUCCUACUCACGGGUUCCUAUUGGGACCGUGAGCGGUUUUUUUAGGGUGCUUUGUGGGCGGUGGGCGGGGUGGGGAUGGGUUGAGCGUUAAUCAACUCGCAUUUGGUCACAGUUCCCGGGUGACCCUUCUCCCUGGCAGACGCGACACAAAAACACCGCAUUUUACAUUCAUUCAACCAAUUGGUUUGGGGUUCCGCUUCACUUUUGACAAGGGAAACAAUGACGCCGUCUUUUUUUUCCCACAGAACCACCGGCAAAGUCAAAUGUGCAACAUUGAUUGGCGACCGAUUAUCGCGACAAAGACAUGAUCGGAAUGCCAAGCUCAGCGGACUGCCAAAUGAUUCCCUCGCAAAAAGUGUUUGCCAACUAAAAAAAAUGAUAAUAAUCCAGAUAAUUUUGGCAUUCCCAUUUUAGUUCGCAAAUUGCAAAGCGGGACACGGACCGUGAUGCCGUGAUUGCGGUGUGCCAUCCGACGUUGCGCAACAGCCAUUCAAACCUCGUCGCUGGCGGGUAGCGAAGCAGCUGUCGAAAUAAAACCGGGCGAAGUCGAGUUUAAAUGAGCAAAUCGGGAGCGGUUGGAUCAUUUCCACGGCCUGUUUUCAACAAACAGUCUGCCGGCGCAGUGCUGCUUCAUUUCCAAAGUUUCCCUUUCCAAGACGUAUGUGAAUUCUUUUUAGAAUAACAUAGACAAAGGAGGACACGUUUGGAUGAAAUAUUGUUCUAAAUUGGCAAUUUUCCCCACAUUCAAACUUGAUUUGACCUGCAGUAGGUGCACUGUUGCCGUUCCUCCCGGCUUGUUUUCCGCCGUCUCGGCAAAACGUCACUCGCUCCGUCAAUCAGAGUAGAAAACUUUGGGGUGUUCCCCUCUUGCAGUGGUGUCAAACAUACGACCCGCGGGCCGGAAACGACCCCCCAAGGAGGUUAAAUCCGGCCCGCGGGAUAAUUUAAAAGUAAAAGAAAAAUGCAUUCAAGACACGGAAUGAAUAUUUUAAAUAAAAUGCGAUUCGUGGAUUAUCCGAUAGGGGGCACACUGUUUUGAUCACAGUAGAAGACAACAUUGUUUUCAUCGGGGAAGAAAACAGCAGUCUCAGUCUGUCACAGAGAUAGACCCAAUGCAGCAAAUGAUAUGAAAGCGCCAAAGAAUGCUUCUUGAGACCAAAACAAAGGAAAGAGAUGAUAGUUUGGUGAUUCAUAGCACAGUAUGGUAUAAUGUUAAUGGUUCGGCCCACUUGACAUCUACCGAGUCCGUAUGUGGCCCACAAUGUGAAAUGACUCUGGCUUUUUUUGGCCAUCAAAGGGACGAGCAGCUGUCAUCAUGACCCGGCCUGGGCUUUUUUUCAAAGCAACUUGCCGGCAGGGCAAAAGGAGGCUGCUGUUGUUGCUGCUGCGAAGUGGAUUAAAGACAAAUUUACGAAUAAAAGGUUUGGGAUGGUAAAACCAAAGCGCCAAAAGGGGUAAGGCAAAACACCCCAACAAAAAGUCAAUCAAUUAUUUAUGUAACAUCUGCGGCUUGUCUCAGCGCCAACCCAUUUGAUCGUGUCACCCGCUUCUGUGGUGCAGAAAUGGCAUCAAAAUCUUCUUCUCUCAUGUUCCAUUUGGAGGACUGAAACAACUGUGGGAGGAAUUUAUUUUAAAAAUAAAAAAUUAAAGGCAGCUAACGAGGCUUUAGGAAAUUGUUCUAACAAGAUUUAUUUGACCUCACGGAAUGUUUUUAUUCGGCUAGUAAAGUUAGUGCAGCAAUCAUCUCCUUUUUAGCAGGGAUUUUAUAUUAGGUAGAAGAGGAGAAAAUUACAAAUAAUAUCUCAUCAUGUGCUGGAACUAAAAAAGUAGGCUUUUGCUUUGCGGAGAAAUUUAAUGUGUGGAUGACAACGUACCAGUCGAUUAUUUCUGCAUUUUAUUUGAUUUGACGAUCCCCAAACUCAACCCCAAAAUAAUGACAUCAUCGGAAAGCGACACUCCGAUGUCUGGUAGUUCAUCAAUACUUUUGGUCAAUAAUCCGGGGUCAACUCUCGGCGGUGUAUCAGAUCGUCCAGACGGAGCCUGGAAUGAGUUGGGGCGACUGACUGUAAAUAAAAGCAUAUAAAUGACACAGACGAGCGAGGCAGAUUGCACCCAUAAUAUCAUUUGUGGCGUUUUUGCAUCGACGCAGUUAGAUAAAUUUGUUUUCAUCUCAUGUGGACAUCAUCAGAAGGUAACAACAAACACAGACUGGCUGCUCUGGCAAGGGAGCCUUGUGAGCUGAGAUGUGAUCAUUACCACGCUGGCUGUUUAGAGUCCAUCACACCAAUUGUCACGCGCGAGCGAGCCAUCGAUGGCGCUACCCAAUAAAUCAGUGUCACAACGGGGGAAACGCCAAAGUCCUAAAACAUGACGACGAUGAUAAACCGGGGCUGUGAUUAUCGGCGAUUUCCAGUUCGAGUGGAAUUAAAAGAUGGAUAAUCAAGACUGGCGUCAACCCGAUUGGUUUGGUGUGAUUUUAGCGACGGAGAAUCGCACAUAUGGAAUGCACGAGCAGCAGGUGCGGUCACAACCGAGGGAGCGCGUGGCUGCAAAGUAUAUGGCGCGAUGGCAGCGCCUCGCUAGUACAUUGCCGCCUGCUAUCAGAACGGAUCGUUAGGGUUUUAAAAGCCUUUGCGUUACAUUAACUUUGGCAGUGAUUUCUUAAGCAACAAACUCACUGACAAGAAACUUAAAAAGAAAAUAAAAAUCAAUCCAUAUUCACGAGACAUUUUUUUUCACUUUACGGGGAUGCUCAAAGUUAAAUACAACUGAACUGUAUGUAGGCUGUGAUUCUUUUGCGAACCACUAGAGGGAGCUCGUGCACAACUACACCCUUUAAGAAUCGCCGGCUUAUCCUGUUCAGGCUCACGGCUCCACUUGAGCUGCCGACGAGUGGAUCGGAAUUCAGGUCAAUCAAAUUCACAAUCAGGCAAUCACUUAAUGUCAGAUGACCAGAUUUCACGGGACACUGCAAGUGCUCAAAUCAUGAUGCAGCAACACACUCGUGCACCGGAGCUCACGAGGCCGGCCGGCCUUGUCAUCCAACAUCAGUGACCUCCGAGUCCUCCCAAAUGCUCUGUUGGAUGAACAAAACUCCCCGAAGGCGAGGCAGACUGUGUUUGGGACCACUCGGACAAAUCAGGUCACAACGAUUGCAUCCGCCAGAUCACACAGAUUCGAAUGCGUGCGUGUUUGUCGCCCGUGUGAUACUGCGCGAGUCAAAAUGAAGAAACUGUUUUGGAGCGACCGAUUUGGCAUACUGUGAGACAGAUGGUUGGAUAACACUGAAGCCAUGUUAGCCGCAGGGAACGCUGGCUCUCCAUCUACAACUAGCCGGAACCAAAUCUGGAACAUUGAAGGCCACUGAUGUCGGGAAACGCGUUACCUAAGAAACUCGCAACAGCAAAUCCAACAUGUUGCUUUUUUUUUCCAAUCACGUCAUAAUUUCGCCAUUAAAUGGAGUUGCUGUUUCUCCGCUUUCGGUUUUUCAGCAGUGAGAAAGAACCGACGUUCACAAAACAAAGGUCGCAUAUUCCGAACUGGAAAAUACAACUCGCUCAAAAAGGGAGUGUAAAGCCGAGAAAAAUGUUGUCCUUGAGCUGAGAUUAUAAAUGGAACAAAAAGGUAUUGAGAGCACAAACACAGAUGAUUGAGAGCAGUCCCACUAAGGCACAGGUAUCAAAGUCAAGGCCCGGGGGCCAGAUCCGGCCCCCCAUGUCAUUUUAUGUGGCCCGCGGGAUCAAAUCAUGUGUGUCAACUUUCAUGAUUCUUGCUGAAAUCUGUACCGCAAUGUCAAAUUGUCAUGGCUAAUAAAUAACGUUGAGAUUUUUGGAAGCUGUAACUCUGAAAUGGCCCGCAACAAAAACUGAGUUUGACGCCACUAGAGCUAAGGGUUCGGAAUAAGUUUUAGCAUAGCAAUUAAUAGCACUGCUUUGACACCUUAAAAAAAAAUAAUUUCAUUAUGCUCUUAAUUGAUCGCUACAAAUGUGAGUUCGAUCUGGUUGUGAGAUUGAAAAGUGCGUUUAACCCUUUCAGGGACAGCAGUUACUGCAGUGGACAGCUGAUCACAUGAUUAGGUUACAGGGUGCAUGAAAGGGUUAAAUCUCUCAUCUCACCUUUUUUCAAAAAUAUCUGAUAUUUUACAGCGGACGUCGCUCGCAUUUUCACCGAGAUGUGCGACUCAACAUUUGGUGAAAAUAAAUGAAGCGGACGACCUGCUUUGCCUCUCCCACCCUUUUCCAGAGAUGAGCGUUAAACAAAAAUGGGGAGCGUAAAACAUGGCAUAUGCAGAUGCUUCCAAGUGGGGAAGACAGACAGCGAGUUCACGACUCACCAUCCGGCAUGACGGCGACUUCGAUGGUCUGAAAGCAUGUCAGUGACCAAACCCUGAAGACACCAAAACAACCGCUGCUGUCAAAGCGAGGCCAAAAUCACAAGAGCUGUACAGUACACACAAAAUAUCGGGACGCCGGUUUGAAAGGAUUCCAAGCAUGUUUUUGAGGACGUGAUGAGGAGAGGUGGACCUCAGCUGGAGAAUGGAGAGGAGGAAAGGAAAAAAAAACAACAAACAGCCAUUUUCCAUGGUCAAGGGUCAGUACGAAUGAGGUGAACUUAUAUGAAGAUGAAAGCCGGGCCAGACGUGCACAUUUACCGACACAACUCGUCCUGGAACAGAUCACCUCUUGUGGAAGCAGGAGUGGCUCAAUGAGACAUUUAGCACUUGGAAUUGUGUUUGUUUGUUUGUUUGUUGGUAGCCUUUAAUUCUCAUUCGCAAACUGUUCGAAUGAUUUGUCCAAGUCCGCAAUGACUCUCUCCAUUAUGUAACAGCAGGAUGCGGGCGGGCUUGUGGCUUGCUGUAUAUAAAGUAGGUCACCAGAUUAAAGAGAAUCAAAUCGGUUUUGUGGGCCUCUUCCGUUUGCCUCAAUUUACCCGAGCGUCAAAGCUCUUCCUCGAUAAUCAGCGCGUGUCGGUGCAUUUUGCAGGACAUAUUGAUUUGUUUCCCUUCAUCCUUUCGUGCACGCCGGAACCUGAUAA